CCUACGUGAGGCAGCAGUGGGGAAUAUUGCACAAUGGGGGAAACCCUGAUGCAGCGACGCCGCGUGAGUGAAGAAGUAAUUCGUUACGUAAAGCUCUAUCAGCAUGGAAGCAAAUGACGGUAACUGAGUCAGAAGCCCCGGCUAACUACGUGUCAGCAGCCGCGGUAAUACGUAGGGUGCAAGCGUUAUCCGGAUUUACUGGGUGUAAAGGGAGCGUAGACGGUGCGCCAUGUCUGGAGUGAAUUGCAGCAGCUUAACUGCGGAACUGCUUUGGAAACUGGCGAACGAGAGUGCGGGAGGGGUAAGCGUAAUUCCUGGGGUAGCGGUGAAAUGCGUAGAUAUUAGGAGGAACACCGGUGGCGAAGGCGGCUUACUGGACCGUAACUGACGUUGAGGCUCGAAAGCGUGGGGAGCAAAAAGGAUUAGAUACCCCAGUAGUC
rnacentral:rRNA from 1 species